CUCAGGAUGAACGCUAGCUACAGGCUUAACACAUGCAAGUCGCGGGGCAGCAUUUCUUAGCUUGCUAAGGGAGAUGGCGACCGGCGCACGGGUGAGUAACGCGUAUCCAACCUGCCCACCACUUGGGGAUAACCUUGCGAAAGUAAGACUAAUACCCAAUGACGUCUCUAGAAGACAUCUGAAAGAGAUUAAAGAUUUAUCGGUGAUGGAUGGGGAUGCGUCUGAUUAGCUUGUUGGCGGGGUAACGGCCCACCAAGGCGACGAUCAGUAGGGGUUCUGAGAGGAAGGUCCCCCACAUUGGAACUGAGACACGGUCCAAACUCCUACGGGAGGCAGCAGUGAGGAAUAUUGGUCAAUGGGCGAGAGCCUGAACCAGCCAAGUAGCGUGCAGGAAGACGGCCCUAUGGGUUGUAAACUGCUUUUAUAAGGGAAUAAAGUGAGAGUCGUGACUCUUUUUGCAUGUACCUUAUGAAUAAGGACCGGCUAAUUCCGUG
rnacentral:rRNA from 1 species